rnacentral:sRNA from 1 species
GAGAACCUCCGGGGGCAGGAGGUUCGACUCGAGCGAAGCGAGAGAACGUUGCGUCAGCAACGGCCCGCAGGGCGAGCCACGAAGUGGUG